rnacentral:rRNA from 1 species
AUUGAACGCUGGCGGCAGGCUUAACACAUGCAAGUCGAGCGGGGGAAGGUAGCUUGCUACUGGACCUAGCGGCGGACGGGUGAGUAAUGCUUAGGAAUCUGCCUAUUAGUGGGGGACAACAUCUCGAAAGGGAUGCUAAUACCGCAUACGUCCUACGGGAGGAAGCAGGGGAUCUUCGGACCUUGCGCUAAUAGAUGAGCCUAAGUCGGAUUAGCUAGUUGGUGGGGUAAAGGCCUACCAAGGCGACGAUCUGUAGCGGGUCUGAGAGGAUGGUCCGCCACACUGGGACUGCGACACGGCCCAGACUCCUACGGGAGGCAGCAGUGGGGAAUAUUGGACAAUGGGGGGAACCCUGAUCCAGCCAUGCCGCGUGUGUGAAGAAGGCCUUAUGGUUGUAAAGCACUUUAAGCGAGGAGGAGGCUACUCUAGUUAAUACCUAGGGAUAGUGGACGUUACUCGCAGAAUAAGCACCGGCUAACUCUGUGCCAGCCGCCGCCGUAA